rnacentral:lncRNA from 1 species
ACUGGGAUAAUAAUAGGGUUGUUGUGAGGAUUAAAGACAAAGAGUGUAAUUAUUUGGGGAAUUAUAUAUUUGAUAAAAAGGAGCUGUUACUUAUAUAUCAAUUAUAGUUGUUUGAGAAAUAGAAUCUGUCAUUGUAGAACUUGGUUUUAGAGUUCGUUGCUGUUUAAUUGGGAACAGCCCACUUCUUGACCCUGACGUGCUCCUCAUUAGAGACACAGGACAUACUGCUCUGAAUGUUUGAAGAGGACCUCACAGACACAGCUUCCCCCUCGCUCACUCUCUCCUGACAUCUUGUGAAGAUGGUGCUUGCUUUUCCUUUGUCUUCUGCCAUGAUUGUAAGCUUCCUGAGGCCUCCCCAGCCAUGUGGAACUGUGAGUCAAUUAAACUUCUUUUCUUUAUAAAUUAC